GCAUGAGACAUGCAAGUCGAACGGACGAUCGAGGCUUGCUUCGAUCGUUAGUGGCGGACGGCUGAGUAACGCGUAGGUGACCUGCCCCGAAGUGGGGAAUAACUGCCCGAAAGGGUGGCUAAUACCGCAUGUGGUGGUGUGUUCAAUCACACCAGUAAAGCCGCAAGGCGCUUCGGGAGGGGCCUGCGUCCGAUUAGCUCGUUGGUGGGGUAACGGCUCACCAAGGCGACGAUCGGUAGGUGGUCUGAGAGGACGAUCACCCAGACUGGGACUGAGACACGGCCCAGACUCCUACGGGAGGCAGCAGUCGGGAAUUUUGCGCAAUGGACGAAAGUCUGACGCAGCAACGCCGCGUGAGGGAUGAAGGCCUUCGGGUUGUAAACCUCUUUUGUCAGGGAAGAUAAUGACGGUACCUGACGAAUAAGUCACGGCUAACUACGUGCCAGCAGCCGCGGUAAUACGUAGGUGACAAGCGUUGUCCGGAUUUACUGGGCGUAAAGAGCGCGCAGGCGGUCGUUCAAGUCGAGUGUGAAAGCCCCCGGCUCAACUGGGGAGGGUCAUUCGAUACUGAUCGACUCGAAGGCAGGAGAGGGAAGUGGAAUUCCCGGUGUAGUGGUGAAAUGCGUAGAUAUCGGGAGGAACACCAGUGGCGAAGGCGACUUCCUGGCCUGUUCUUGACGCUGAGGCGCGAAAGCUA
rnacentral:rRNA from 1 species